rnacentral:lncRNA from 1 species
CGCUUAAAUAGGCCAACAUUAAUUGGGUAAAGACACACGGCUGGGGGCAUUCAAGUCCUAAUGAGUAGUGAUGUAUCUAUCAACAGAAGCUAGGGCCACCUAGUGGCUAGGAGUGUUAUUGCAUAGAACCAGUGUAAGCGAAAUGAUGGGGAGUGUUACUAGUUAGUGCCAACUAGAGGUUGGGAGAGUCAUUGCAAUCAGGGAGAGUUCUUCCAAGCUGGGCCUUACAUUGUGUCUGUCGGUGGUCAACAACCUCCUCUGCAGCACUGCUGAUUCUGAUCGAUAUCAGGGAAUAAUCUACAGCCAAACAGCAGGUGCAUCACUGCAGAGGCCAACAUCAACAGCAGACAAGAAUAAUGGGAGCCAAUAUUUCACGCAAGAUUGUGGGAGCGUUGACAGGGACGGUGACAGGUGCCGGUCUGGUCAUGUUAGGACUGUUGACCCAAGUUUUUGUAAUUGCUAGAAGAAUGGGAAUUGCACAAGUUUUGGGGGCAGCAGGAUUUACAGGAAUUACAAGAGUUACAGGAGUUACAGCACCAGCAAAUGAAGUUGCAGAAGCAGCAGCAAACAGAGCAGCAGCAGUGGCUCAGAAACUACUUACAGCGAUCAGCACUGGAUUGAUUAUAGCAGCACUUGGAGGAUGCAUUAUUGGAUAUGAAGAGGGAGGACAAGCUGAUUCAAUGUAUGAUGCAACUACAAGGGCAUUAGAUUGUAACUUUGAGCUGGCAAAAUAUGUAAUUAAGAAAGUACGAGAAUUUAUUGCUUUUGUUUUAAAAGACAACAGAAUGUGAAACUGAACUAAAGAAGGGCUCAUAUGGCCCUUUUUAUAAGAUGCAUGUAAGUCUCAGGAGUCCCAAAAAUAUGUCUGUGACGUUUCAGUUUCAAAUACCCCACAGAUCAUUCAUUAUACCACGCUAUAAAUGUCCCUUUUUGACUGCAAGCGAAAAAUAUGCUGCUUUCAUGUCUCUUUAAAUGCAAAUGAGCUGCUUUCCCCUGCCUUUACAGCUCCUGCCUCAAUUACUACAGCAACAACACACAACAAACUCACACAAAACACACAGAUUUCACAUAAACACAGUCAGUUAUGUCUGUGAACGUAAACAGCUGCAUGUGUAUCAGUAUAUUAAAUCUGUGAAACAGGUGACAACAUACUACUAACACAACUCAACCAGGCCUUGCCUAUGGUAGCAG